rnacentral:ncRNA from 1 species
CAACCUCAACUCAUAUGGGACUACCCCCUGAAUUUAAGCAUAUUAAUUAGGGGAGGAAAAGAAACUAACAAGGAUUUUCUUAGUAGCGGCGAGCGAAAAGAAAUCAGUUCAGCACUAAGUCACUUUGUCUAUAUGGCAAAUGUGAGAUGCAGUGUACGGAACAUCAACAUUCUAGUAUGAGAAGUUAACGAUUUAAGUCCUUCUUAAAUGAGGCCAUUUACCCAUAGAGGGUGCCAGGCCCGUAUAACGUUAAUGAUUACUAGAUGGUGUUUCCAAAGAGUCGUGUUGCUUGAUAGUGCAGCACUAAGUGG